CCUUCUUUUCCUUCUUGGAAUCAUCAUCCUUUAGCUUCCUUCUUCUCUUGAGGUGUAACUCAAGGUGAAGCUUCCAACAUUGUUCCUUCGUAUGUCUAUGAAGGUUAUAGUGAUUAUAAUAGUUUUUUUGAAUCAUGUUGAUGUGCUUUUUACACUUCUUGUCUUUCUUACAAUGAUUCUUCUCCUCAAUUACCAUGGCCUCUACACUAGCUUCAUUGAUGUUGUCAAUUUUGAAGAGCUUCAGCUUGUUUUGAAUACUCUCGUGGAGACCUCCAAUAUACCUCAUGAAAACUGCAUGAUCGUUGAUGGAUAUUCUAAGAGAGAUC
rnacentral:lncRNA from 1 species